ACUGGAUCAGCAGCCUUCAGUUGGAGGAACACAGCCAGCUCCUGGUGACCCCACAGGGAGAGAGCGGGAGCACUAAGGAUUCCAAACUCAGUCCUCCUGAUCUUCAUCAGUAUUCGUCAUUGGCCAAACAAAUAACUGAAAUUCAGAGGGCAAGAGAGCUCAUUGUUAUCUAAACAGGUCAGCAUGGCAGACAGCGAGGCGAAGAGGGAAGGAAGGUGGAUUUGGAAGAACAAACGGGAGUGACCUAGUGCAGCCCUGAUAAACCCGUGAGGAAACAGACGCACACAGAGGUGAAGCAGCUUCCCCAAAGGCGCAUGGCUAAGAGUGGUUAUUUGUCUCCUUGUCACGCUGUUUUGAGGGAAGGAUUCCUACACUAGGAUUAUGAAGAUCGCCAAACAGAUGACGCUGGAUCCCAGAAAAGUGGGGCAGAAUGCAGUUUAGUUGUCACAUAUGCUCACAGCCUAGGGAAGAAGACAGCGGACAGCCCACAGGGCCACGCGAUGGUUCAAGAACAGAGUGAACAGCCAGGGCCUGUGAAAGCAAAAGUCCCAAUAAAGUAAAAAGAAGAAAAGAGCUGGAGCGCUGAGACCAAGGGCUAAAGCUGGGAGACUGAAACAAUGCAGACCACAGGGGCAUUACUCAUUUCUCCAGCUUGGAACCUCUGUUGUACCUGGGGUCUAAUCAGGACUGUAUCUGCCUCCUUCUUGAAUAGCCCAGAUAAUUCACCUAAACAGCCUUCCUACAGCAGCUCCCCACUGCGGGUGGCCAGACGGGAGUUCCAGACCAGUAUUGUCUCCCGGGACAUUGACAUAGCAGCCAAGUUGAUUGGUGCUGGGGCAGCCACAGUUGGUGUGGCUGGUUCAGGGGCUGGCAUUGGAAAAGUGUUUGGCAGCUUGAUCAUUGGCUAUGCCAGGAACCUGUCUCUCAAGCAGCAGCUCUUCUCCUAUGCCACUCUAGGCUUUGCCCUAUCUGAGGCCAUGGGGCUCUUCUGUUGAAUGACCACCUUCCUCAUCCUCUUUGUCAUGUGAGGCUCUGUGGGGGUCACCUGCCUGUGCAUGCUGCUGUGACUCCAUGCCAUUCCUGGUUCUGCGGUGUGCUAAGCUUUACCAUUGAACACGUUUCUCUAAAAAACGAAAAAAGAAAAUAAAAGAAAGAAAAGAGCUAGUGGAGUGGAAGCUCUUCCACCCCCACCUCCCAUGCCCAGGAGAAGGGCCUGCGGGCCUCAAGCACACUGGUCACUCUGGCACGAGUGAGGAAGAAGAGCCCUGUAAGGGCUGUAUGGGAGAACGCACCCCUUCCUCAACAAGGACUGCUUCCGCCUUUCAGUGUUGCUUCCCAGAGCCUGAAAGCACACUUGGACUACAAUCUCAUUUUUUCCUGGACUCAGGCUCUCAGCCCUGAUGAAGCCUCACUGCCACUCUCCUGGAGUGAAAACAGUCUAGAGAUGUGACCUACCCAAAUAGAUUUAACAUACUCCUCUACCGUACAGAAAAGAACAAGGGCUCAGCGACAAAACUAUUAGGAAGCCACGAAUCACACACAGGGUUAGUUCAGUCAUAUGGGAUUCAAUACUGGAGGACAAUUUUGAUUUUAUUUCUUUCACAUUUUACAUACUCAGUAGUAGAGGCUGUGAAGGGUCUGAAGACCUUCUGUUCUGCCAGGGAAAUGGACAGCUUGAUGACCAGGCCCUGGGGCAGUCAGCUGAGAAUGACUCCUGCCAUCAGGGCCCACCUCUUGACUUUUCCUAGGAACUGACAUUUGUCCUCUCACUUCUAACUUCCCUUUAUUUCCCAGUGUUACACAUUCUUUGAUGAUUGAGCCUCCUUUAUGAUCUGCACCCUGUGGAGUUCUCUCCAGACUAGAUGAAGAGUUGAACAGGCUUAAUAAAUCAUUAACAUAAUACAAAAUAUUUGAAACAAUAAUGCCACAAUUUGACUACUAGAUUAUAUCUACACAGCUAGACAGAAAUUUAAAUACUAAGGGAGUUAAGUGAACACUUUUACAACUAAUUUGAUUUAUUUAUAUAUUUUUAAAAACAGUAGAUGAUAAAGCAGAUAUGGAAAAAUUCCAAAUUACAAAAAGAUUAAAAUUAUUUCUUGCAUAAUUUAUUUUUAAAUAUAUUUUUCCUAUACUAUAAUAACUAGAGUUAAUGAUUUUCAUUAUAAAUUGCUAAACAUGUUUAAUUUCUAAAUGCGAAGUCAGAAACCUCUAAACAAAAGAUUUGUCAUUUAAAACGAUCAAUUAUUGUUUUAGACAUAUUUACUUAAGAAGGAGAAACCUAAAAUAUACAGCAACUGUGCUUAGAAUUGAUGAAGCUGAGAUAUGAUGAAAAUGAAGUUCAUAUGAGGAACAUUUAAAAAAAAUUAAAAAAACAAGACAAAUCGAGUCAGUCAUUCACCCUUUUAUAUAAUACUACAGUACUUGUGCUGAUUAAAAAUGGAGCUAAUUGUAGGGUAGAAGUUCCUUCAAAUUAGAAAAUAAUUUCUAUGAAUUUCUAGUUGUUCCGUGGCAAAUAAUUUAGAAUACUAGGGUUUCAAUAUCAGUAAAUCAACAUAAGGACUGAAAUAGGCAUCAUGAGCGUAUUUACAAAUUAUUCCUGUUUCUUGAGGGUUAAAUUCUUAUGGAAUUCAUACAUGAACACUUUACAAAUGUGAAAGUGUGGGCUACUUUAUCUCAGGUUAUGCUCAAGGAAACAAUUAUGCAAGCUCCGUGCAAAGUACUAGACGUGGAAUAAGUGGAGACUAAUAUUAUUAAAAACAUUAAAUAGGCCUUUCCAUCAAUGAGUCCAAUGGAUGAAGCUCAAAUAUUUUCCCUUCGGAAGCUUCCUUUGCCCAUUCUAUACCUUGCUGUGCUUCCGCCCUUCCUCCUCACAGCUACAAACCAGAACAUUCUUCCCCAAGGAUAACGUAGAUCUCUGUGCAGUGAAGGCUUUCUUCUCCAUGUCCCUCGGUAGAAUUUUAUCAUUUUUAUAGUUUUCUUUAUUGUUCACUAAGUGAAUUCUUAGUUACCUCAUGAUUAGAAUUAUUCGGGUGAAUGCAAUUUUCCUUCCCUUAUAUUUUCUAGUUGCUUUAUUCCUGGAGAAAUUUUUGUCUAUUUGUGUUGCCCUGAUAUGUCUAUGUUUGCUUUUCCUUUAUGACUGAAAUGACCUUUUUGAUGAAAAAGUGAGUUUAAACUAGCUUACAAGCUAGUUUAAACUUUUAGUUUUCUAGGUGAGUGUAUAUUUUUAUCUUCAUAGUUAUAUCUUCUCCACAGCUUCAAAGCAAAGGCCUUAUACGUCCAAGUUAAGGAGCUUACUCCAAAGGAAAAAGGCACAUAUUGCUUGAUUUCUGUUUUCUCUCUUCCUUCCAUGUCAUCAGCAGCUCAAAUCCUGCCCAUGUGAUAUGUGAACAAACACCAACUUUUCUGUUUUCUGUUCUUUCUUUCUCCAGCCUCAUCUGCCAAGCUAGAGUAUAUCUUUCAGGGAUUCCUAGCUGCACUGUUCUGUGCUCAUCUUCCAGGGAAGUUACAAGUUAGUUCCUAAUCACCUUUAUUUGAUCUAAGUGGCAUCGUAUCUGAUAGUCAUGUAAGUUUGAAUCCCAACAGGUUUCUGCGUCAACGGAGAUUAAUAGUGGCAGUCAGAGAGUGGCCCCAAUGAUGGCCACAGCAAAACUCCUGGAACAUGCGUGUUACCCACCGUGCACAGCAAGAGGGCCUUUGCAGAUAAAAUUAAGGGUACUGUAUUAGGGCUCUCUAAAGGGACAGAACUAAUAGGAAAGAUGAAUAUAUGAAGGGGAGUUCAUUAGGAAAAUUGACUCACACGAUCACAAGGUGAAGUCCUACAAUCUGUAAGCUGAGGAGCCCAGAAGCCAGUCCGAGUCCUAAACCCUCAAAAGUAGGGAAGCCGACAGUGCAGCCUACGGUCUGUGGCUGAAGGCCUGAGAGCCCCUGGCAAACCACUGGUGUAAGUCCAAGGGUCCAAAAGAUGAAGAACUUGGAGUCUGAUGCUCAAGGGCAGGAAGCAUCCAGCACAGGAGAAAGAUGGAGGCCAGAAGGCCUAGCCAGUCUAGUCCUUCCACGCUCUUCUACCUGCUUUAUUCUACCUGCACUGACAGCUGAUUAGAUGGUGCCCACCCAGAUUGAGAGUGGAUCUGCCUCUCCCAGUCCACUGAUCAAAUGUUAAUCUCCUUUGGCGACACCCUCACAGACACACCCAGGAACAAUACUUUGUAUCCUUCAAUCCAAUCAAGUUGAUACCGGAUAUUAACCAUUACAGGGAGGAAUCUCCCAGUGUUUGUGCCAUGUUUUGAUCUGACUGAAAGCCAUAAACAUAGCCGAAGCCUGGGCCAUCCACAGAAGACCCAAUGUUCUCUUUUUCCAAGUGGGCAUUUUGUAUCUCUGAAGAGUUCUAGACUGAGCUACAUCAGUAGACCUCUGCAUUUAAAGGGAGCAAUUCUCAUCCGAGGAUCCUGAUUCUUCUACUGUAGUGCAAUUUCACCACUCUCUCCAAAUGUCUCCAAGCAAAUUCAAAGCAGCUGAAAAUAACUGCAUGCCUGAGAGUGAGAGAAAUUUCUUAAGUGAUCGACCAAAUCUGGGUCUGAUUAGUGGGUGGAUGCCUCAUUGGAGAGGCUGAUUUGAGAGUCGGGGUACAAAUAAUAAUGGCUAAUAAUGGCAAACAAUUAGUAAUUGCUAGGUGCCAGGAGUUGUGCUAAAUGCUUUACAUGAGUAGAUAGGAUAUUGCAGAUCUCAACAGUUAAGAAAUUUGCUUGUGAUCAUGUAGUUUGGAGAGUAUCAGAGUCUGAAAUGAAGACAACUUGAGGGUCAAUAAACAGGAAGAAAAAGUACUCUACAAGACAGUUUAUCUGAUAACGGUAUGAUGGAAGAUGGCAUCAGGCGGAGGUAAAUGGGACGAGGGACUGGAAGAAAACCACUGAAUCAAAGACUCUUGGAGUUGAAAGUUUCCUUAGCAACUAUCUAGAUUCAUUAACUUCUUCACAGUUGAGAGAUUUCUGCAUUAUUUUUCUUCCAUAAAUAACCAAUCUCUGCUUAAUUUUUUACCAGACCACCCCAUCUACUCCUGGGCUACCAUUACCAUUCAAGUCUUUUCCCUUCUUUUGGACUAAAAACUACUUUUAAAAAUUGUCAUCCAUUAGUCACAGUCAACCUCUCUGGAGUUAACAAGAUAAAUAUGUGUCUCUUUCAUUUGACAAUCCUUCAAGUAUUUCAACAUAACUAUAACAUUCUCCUUAAGUCUUUUCAUUUCUAUUUGCAAGUUCUUCAGCUAUUUUUCUUACAAUAUAAUUAACAGUCCUUUUGCCAAGCAGGGUCUCUAUUAUUUAGUAAAAGGCAGGCAAAUACUGGAAGACUAUUCACAUUUGAAUUUGACAAAAAAAAACAAACGAAAGCCAUUUUACAAUUAAGGCAACUUAGAUGUCAGGACAAGAAAACUGUAGGACCAGCAUUAAGUAGUCAGUUGAGUGUGGGAACAUAAUCCACAGGAGAAUCUAGUGUGUAUAAUGAAAGUCUGGAAAAAUUCAGUAUAAUAUCAUUUCAAUAACUAUUCCUUUUAAGAUUCCCCUUAGAAGAACACAUAACUUAGAUGUCCUGAGGACAGAAUCUGGAGCACAUCUGAGCAUUUAUAAACUGGAUUCUGCCUGGCACUUAAAAUGUUUUCCUAUUUAGGAGAUUUAAUUGUCAAAUGAGGCUUUUAUCUUUUGAUCCUAUCAACUGAUAUCCUGCAGAAAACGCUGGAUGAUGGAUUUCUUUGGAACACACGAUCAUUCUGUAAUUUUACCUUUCUUUCCUUUUCCUCUGUUUCUUUACUUGUAACUGAACCCUGAAAUAGAACUUAAUCUGUCAGCUGCACUCUACAUUUGUUCUUUUUGCACAGAAAACACUAUUAUUGCAGAUAUUCAAACUAUACAAACUAUACAUUUUUCUUAAAAUUCAACAUAGUUGAAAUAAAAAGGUUUUGCAAAUGUAUUUAAAACUCUUCAGUGCUUACUAUGCUGUUUUUACAUAGUAUCUUUUAGUAGGAAAAACAGAAACAUGGCGAGGUAAUGUCUCUUUUUUUUUGCCUAAUGCUAAUUAAAUAAUCUGUAAACUUAAAUACUAUCAAGAUUUUGAAUCAGCUGAAAAUCAAACUGAGUCAUUCAUAAUUUUUUCUGAAUCUUGAUAUUUUUGCAGUUAUUCUGCAGAGUGUCUUGAAAUGCUAGAAGCUGUAAUAAUUUGUGGCUAUUCUAUUUCUCAAGGACAUUAGAUAGAAAUUUCAAAAAAAUACUUCUGUUCAUAAGACAGUGAGUUAUACCCAUCUUUAGGGAGGUAAAGUAGACGUUUUGAAAUGCUUUUGAGAUUUCAGGAGCCAUGGUAAAAAGAAUAGAAGCAGUUAGAUUCUUAACUCUCCCUAAAUGUGUUAUUAUUUAACAAAAAUAGGAAUUGAUUGAAUAGUUUUGAGUCUAAUUACCAACAGUUUACUCCAUUUGUGUUUUAAAAUGGGAAAUGUAUCUUGAUUCAUUAAUGGAAAUUGCUUCAUUUUGUCCUCCAUGAAACAUGGAGAUGUUAAAGUUUUAUCAUAAUACAGUUGAAAUUACUUAGUAAGAUGAAAUUACUAAUUUCCACACAAAUACAACGCUUACUAUUUCAUUACUAUUACUAGUAAUUUUCAUCUUUCAUUUUAGUAAUUAUAUGGUCUGCACUAUAUAAUUCUUUCUUUCUGAAAGAAUACUCAUCAGAAGUUAUAUUAAUACUUUGAAAGGUUUAUGAAAAAUAAAAAAUGAAAGAUGCCCAGCAUUUUUUUUCUGGUGUAUUUUUAGCAAGAUCAGAUAUCAUAGAAUUUAAAUGAAGAACUUUGCUCUACGUAAUUAGUCAUUGAUCAAAGAAACGACAAAUUUUGGAAUGAAAAUAGCAAAUUCAGUUAAAAUAUUCUGCAAAAAUACUUCUAAAAUUAUUUUUAAAAGAUAGUUGUUAAGGCAUAGGACUAGUACUCUUGGAUACUAUUUUUUCUAGGUGUAUCAUAUGAGUAUUAAUAAUUCAAUCUGAAACAAAUCAGUAAGCUUUCUAGUAUUGAAAUUUUCUCUUUUGCUUUCCUACUGUGUCACCAUCGUACUGUUUUGUUUUACACAGUGAGAGCAUAAUUUUCUUCUACAGGGACCACGAAGCUUCAGGCCAGCCCUGUCCCGAAGUCUUCUGUGCUUCAUGUCGAGUGGUCUGCAGUGGACUGUGUCUGCUUGAAGCGAUGCUCCGGAGGGCUUAUUGUUGUGUGGGGUAAAGCAUGAGAUCACUGAAAAAUGAGAGAAAUCGAGCAUACGAAAUGUGAAGCAUAUCUGUUGACACCAUGCGCUCCCUUUGCUUGCACUGGAUGGCGCAUGGUUUCCGUGCGCAGUGCCUGAGGUGUGGGGCAGGCGAGGCCCAUGCAGCCUGGCUCCUUUCCAGAAGGUUGCUGUUCAUUACAGCUCGAGUGUGCUGGGUUCUGCAGAUAUUAUCUAUUUUAAAUUAACGCUCCGUAAAAGGAAUUUAAAGUUUUCUGAAAAGAAACCAAUGAAUGAAGCUAAUAGUAAUAAUGCAAACACAAGCAAGCUGCCAAGUAAGCCAUUUUUCUAUUACGGAGCCCUUCAUCAGUCAUAUUAUUAAAGAAAAAACAACAAUACUAGUAAUAAUGAUCACCUAUUCAAGACCAAGAGGUUGAUCCUCCAAAAUUCAAACAAGGAAAAAUCUCUCCCAAUCUCUCCUUUCCUCCAUCCCUUUUCUUUACUUCUCAUCCCAUAUAUAAUAUUAUAUAAUGCAUACGUAAUAAAAGACAUUCACUAUUAUUAGCAAUGAUUCCUUAUCUGUAUAUUGUGCCUUAAGAUAUAUUAGCAAAUGGUGUGCAUAUUUAGAAGACUUAUUUUUAAAAAUAAUAUAUAUGUUGGGGUAAAGGGUCAACCCUUUAUUCAUUGACAAGCGAGGUUAUCAAAGAAGUCUGGACUCAUUUUUGCUCUUCCAAGUCUAAAUAUAAAUUUUGGUUUAUAAAGGAUUUCAUAUGGUUCCCAACAGCACAUUGUAAAAAUUCAACUCUCUGCCUUACUAGUUAUUGAAGUCAUCUUACAGAUGGCCACAAUAAGUCCCUUCUUAUUUAUUUUUGCCAAUAUAAUUUGUAGGGUAGAUGUAUGUAGUUUGCUUGAUUCUGACCGGAAAUCUGUUCUGUUUCCUGCUUGACUGAAAUUUGGGGCAAUGGAGGCAGCAGAAAUAUGCAAAUAUAAACCUGAGUUACACAAUGGGCUUUGGUUCAGUGGAUGAAUAUUAUUUAAUUUUCCAAUGUCAUUGUAAGAAAUUGAGAGAUGAACUUGAACUUUUAAAACUUUGUGGACAAAAUAUCAUCAAUAUUAAGGGAACAAGUUUCUUAAACUUUAGAAGGAAAUCAAUUCUAAUGUGUAGUUAACCAGAUUGUUCAUUGUUGGGUUUAUCAUUAACUUGGUCUUUACCUCAUUAACUUCCCUCUGUCUUAUUGUUUAUUAUGCUGCGUUUAUUUUCUCUGUAAUCAAGUGUAACUGUAGCAUUGGGGAGAGUAUUAGAUUUUCUAUAGAUUUGGGUGUUUCAUGUGCAGCAGACCACGUGCUAUUUUUGCCCGAGCAGCUCUUGUUCACCUUUGUUCUGGAGACAGAACUCUCCUUUAAUUUUGGAAACUUCCCCUCCUAUUACUGAUAGGGCUGUCAAUCGCAUGUCCCCCAAGCCUCCAUCAAUGUGAUGGCCAGGGACUUGUGUGGGUCACAGACUCAAACCUGAACUUCUGCCGAAGAUAUCAAGAAGGAGAAGCCCUCUAUUUACUGAAGUCUCUGACUGUAAUAACUGAGUGAAUUGAUAUCUUCCAGCAGCCACUGUAGCACCACAAAAGGAAGGCUUGUCCAGGAAUUAAACCAACACAAGGAAAGCCCAGACAAAGAGGGAAGGAUGGGCUCAUGAUGUUUGAACCUCUGAUCUGUCUAUGCCUUGAGCCAGCCACACUGCAGGAUGCUGUUGCUCCAGCAAUUAAAUGUUCUAUUUUUGUUUAGGUUAGUUUGUGUCAGUGUGUGUCACUUAUUACUAAAAUGUUCCUGAGAUAGACAACACUGUGGAGGGAAGAUCAUAUGAACUUAAUGAUUUGACCUAAAAAAUGGCAAUUUCUUAGGAUUCAAACCAAUAUAAUAAAAAAUGCAGGUGGUCAGAUGACUCAAGAACCAUUGCUUUGUGUUCUUGGCCUCUUUGAGCUUCAGUUUCCUCAUAUUGAAAGGAGAGAGAUAACUGUCUACCCACGCAUCGGUUCACACACAGAAACGGGAAAUGCAGGAUCAGGUAAAGCAUAGAAAAACCUUUGUAGACUAUCUGGCUCUAUAAAAUGUUACCUAUUGUUACACAUUGGAAGAUCUGAUUCCUUGAGAUAUAUUACAGUGUAUAGAGUGAGCUUACUGGUCAUGCUUAGGAAAAAUUUUGGAAUUGGUAGCACAUGUGAGGCUGUGAAGACUUCAAAAUUUGACUGCAGAUGUUAUAAAGUCCUGUGUUUUGGCAGAUAAUCAUCUCCCCAUUUAGAAUUCACAGGACUCAUCUGGCAUCCGGUGGAGUUGGUAGGAGCUGAUUAAUGCCUGGCUUCUAGUGGAGAUGAUGAGAACUGGUCAAUGUAAGUUACGUUAGGAUGGCAUUGUGGACGUCAGAAACCCAAAAGAGGACAGAAACCCAAGCCUAAACAAAAAUAGGACAUUUAAUUGCUGGAGCAACAGCAUCCUGCAGUGUGGCUGGCUCAAGGCAUAGACAGAUCAGAGGUUCAAACAUCAUGAGCCCAUCCUUCCCUCUCUGUCUGGGCUUUCCUUGUGUUGGUUUAAUUCCUGGAAAAGCCUUCCUUUUGUGGUGCUACGGUGGCUGUGGAAGUUAUUACAGUCAGAGACUUCAGUAAAUAGAGGGCUUCUCCUUCUUGAUAUCUUCGGCAGAAGUUCAGGUUUGAGUCUGUGGCCCACACAAGUUCCUGGCCAUCACAUUGAUGGAGGUUUGGGGGAGAAGUGAUUGACAGCCCUAUCAGUACUUAGUCUAUGUUGCUUUUAGCCAGUACAGUUCAUCCCAAAACAAUCUUCUAAAAUCGGUACUCUAAGCUUAUCACAUGGAUUAACAAUUACUAAGUGGUUCUAUGAAAAUCCCAACUGAGUUACACAGGCAAGAUCCCAACCCAAGAUUGUCCAAGUAUAAAACGGAGGCUCAGUUCCUCAUUUUGUUACUGUUGCUUUGAAAAGUAAAGACCAUCUAGCCCUUCUGCUGCUGCAAAUGAACUAAGAGAUGAGGUAGGGUGCUUUGUGGCCUGUGACUGGUUGUAGUACAUCCAGUCAUAAGGGGAAAUUCAAUUUCAGGUUGGAAAUCCUUAUAAAUCUAUAGUAGUGUGUAAAGGAGUGUGGUACUUCUGAAAGUAUAAUCGCCAUCUUUUUAAAAGGCCAUUUUGACACAAUGUAUAUGUGUGCAUAUGUACAAACUUGCUCACUAAAAUGGACAUACAGUAAAUCUGGGCUUUGUAACUAGGACUACACGAUACAUAACUCAAUAAUUAGUAUAUGAGGUACUCUGAAAAAUAAAAAUGGUAAAAUAUAUGGAAGACACUGCUUUAAAGAGAUGUAAUGGGUCCCAUUUCGGAG
rnacentral:lncRNA from 1 species